rnacentral:rRNA from 1 species
AACGAACGCUGGCGGCAUGCCUAACACAUGCAAGUCGAACGAGACCUUCGGGUCUAGUGGCGCACGGGUGAGUAACGCGUGGGAACCUGCCCUUAGGUUCGGAAUAACUCCCCGAAAGGGGUGCUAAUACCGGAUAAUGUCUUCGGACCAAAGAUUUAUCGCCUAUGGAUGGGCCCGCGUUGGAUUAGCUAGUUGGUAGGGUAAAAGCCUACCAAGGCGACGAUCCAUAGCUGGUCUGAGAGGAUGAUCAGCCACACUGGGACUGAGACACGGCCCAGACUCCUACGGGAGGCAGCAGUGGGGAAUAUUGGACAAUGGGCGAAAGCCUGAUCCAGCAAUGCCGCGUGAGUGAUGAAGGCCUUAGGGUUGUAAAGCUCUUUUACCCGGGAUGAUAAUGACAGUACCGGGAGAAUAAGCUCCGGCUAACUCCGUG